rnacentral:rRNA from 1 species
UACGAAGGGGGCGAGCGUUGUUCGGAUUUACUGGGCGUAAAGGGCGCGCAGGCGGCGAUCCAAGUCAGGCGUGAAAUUCCCGGGCUUAACCUGGGGGCUGCAUUUGAUACGUGUUGUCUUGAGUUCGGAAGAGGGUCGUGGAAUUCCCAGUGUAGAGGUGAAAUUCGUAGAUAUUGGGAAGAACACCGGUGGCGAAGGCGGCGACCUGGUCCGACACUGACGCUGAGGCGCGAAAGCGUGGGGAGCAAACAGG